rnacentral:ncRNA from 1 species
GCAACGCUUAAAGCAUGUCUCCCGAAAGGGAACCGGUUUCGGGAUAAAGACAUGCGUAAAAACAAAAGCUUAAAGCGUGUUGCCUGAAUAAGAUUGAACGCAACACGCUUUAGGCUUUCAAUCUCGGCACGGCCUUGAUCAGCGCCUUGCUGAUCGGCGCUUGCGGUG